GAUGAACGCUGGCGGCGUGCCUAAUACAUGCAAGUCGAGCGAACAGACGAGGAGCUUGCUCCUCUGACAUUAGCGGCGGACGGGUGAGUAACACGUGGAUAACCUACCUAUAAGACUGGGAUAACUUCGGGAAACCGGAGCUAAUACCGGAUAAUAUAUUGAACCGCAUGGUUCAAUAGUGAAAGACGGUUUUGCUGUCACUUAUAGAUGGAUCCGCGCCGCAUUAGCUAGUUGGUAAGGUAACGGCUUACCAAGGCAACGAUGCGUAGCCGACCUGAGAGGGUGAUCGGCCACACUGGAACUGAGACACGGUCCUGACUCCUACGGGAGGCAGCAGUAGGGAAUCUUCCGCAAUGGGCGAAAGCCUGACGGAGCAACGCCGCGUGAGUGAUGAAGGUCUUCGGAUCGUAAAACUCUGUUAUUAGGGAAGAACAAAUGUGUAAGUAACUAUGCACGUCUUGACGGUACCUGAUCAGAAAGCCACGGCUAACUACGUG
rnacentral:rRNA from 1 species